rnacentral:rRNA from 1 species
AGAUUGAACGCUGGCGGCAUGCCUAACACAUGCAAGUCGAACGGGAGUAGCAAUACUCUAGUGGCGGACGGGUGAGGAAUACGUAGGAAUUUGCCCUUAAGUGGGGGAUAACCCGGGGAAACCCGGAUUAAUACCGCAUGACCUCGAAAGAGCAAAGUGGGGGAUCGCAAGACCUCACGCUUUUGGAGAAGCCUACGUCGGAUUAGCUAGUUGGUGAGGUAAUGGCUCACCAAGGCGACGAUCCGUAACUGGUCUGAGAGGAUGAUCAGUCACACCGGAACUGAGACACGGUCCGGACUCCUACGGGAGGCAGCAGUAGGGAAUAUGGACAAUGGGCGCAAGCCUGAUCCAGCCAUACCGCGUGGGUGAAGAAGGCCUUCGGGUUGUAAAGUCCCUUUUGGUUGGGAAAAGAAAAGGCAAAUCGUUAAUACCCGGUUGUUCUGACGGUAACCCAAAGAAUAAGCAACCGGCUAACUCGUGCCAGCAGCCGCGGU